rnacentral:rRNA from 1 species
CCUACGGGCGGCAGCAGUGAGGAAUAUUGGUCAAUGGGCGGAAGCCUGAACCAGCCAAGUAGCGUGCAGGAUGACGGCCCUACGGGUUGUAAACUGCUUUUAUACGGGAAUAACGCGCCUUACGUGUAGGGCUUUGCAUGUACCGUAUGAAUAAGGACCGGCUAAUUCCGUGCCAGCAGCCGCGGUAAUACGGAAGGUCCGGGCGGUCUCCGGAUUUAAUGGGGUUAAAGGGAGCGUAGGCCGCAUGUCAAGCGUGCUGUGAAAUGUCCGGGCUCAACCCGGGCCUUGCAGCGCGAACUGGCGUGCUUGAGUGCGCGGAAAGCAGGCGGAAUUCGUCGUGUAGCGGUGAAAUGCUUAGAUAUGACGAAGAACCCCGAUUGCGAAGGCAGCUUGCUGCAGCGGAACUGACGCUGAUGCUCGAAAGCGCGGGUAUCGAACAGGAUCAGAUACCCUGGUAGUC